rnacentral:misc_RNA from 1 species
GAUGAAGAACGUAGCGAAAUGCGAUAAGUAAUGUGAAUUGCAGAAUUCAGUGAAUCAUCGAAUCUUUGAACGCACAUUGCGCCCGCCAGUAUUCUGGCGGGCAUGCCUGUUCGAGCGUCAUUUCAACCAUCAAGCCCCCGGCUUGUGUUGGGGACCUGCGGCUGCCGCAGGCCCUGAAAAGCAGUGGCGGGCUCGCUGUCACACCGAGCGUAGUAGCAUACAUCUCGCUCUGGGCGUGCUGCGGGUUCCGGCCGUUAAACCACCUUCAUAACCCAAGGUUGACCUCGGAUCAGGUAGGAAGACCCGCUGAACUUAGGCAUAUCAAUAAGCGGAGGA